CCUGGUUGAUCCUGCCAGUAGUCAUAUGCUUGUCUCAAAGAUUAAGCCAUGCAUGUCUAAGUACACACUUUGGUAAAGUGAAACCGCGAAUGGCUCAUUAAAUCAGCUACAAUUUAUUAGAUCGUACACUGUUACUUGGAUAACUGUGGGAAUUCUAGAGCUAAUACAUGCCGAGAGUCUCUGCUCUUCGGGGCAGAGCGCAGUUAUUAGACCAAAACCAGCCGUAUUCUUCGGGGUACGCUCUUUUGGUGACUCUGGAUAACCUUCAGCCGAUCGCAUGGCCUCGUGCCGGCGACGUAUCUUUCAAGUGUCUGCCCUAUCAACUUUCGAUGGUACGUGAUAUGCCUACCAUGGUGAUAACGGGUAACGGGGAAUCAGGGUUCGAUUCCGGAGAGGGAGCCUGAGAAAUGGCUACCACAUCCAAGGAUGGCAGCAGGCGCGCAAAUUACCCACUCCCAGCUUGGGGAGGUAGUGACGAAAAAUAACAAUGCGGGACUCUAAGAGGCCCCGUAAUUGGAAUGAGUACACCUUAAAUCGUUUAACGAGUAUCAAUUGGAGGGCAAGUCUGGUGCCAGCAGCCGCGGUAAUUCCAGCUCCAAUAGCGUAUAUUAAAGUUGCUGCAGUUAAAAAGCUCGUAGUUGGAUCUGGGGCUUGAGGUCGCUGUCUAUCGUUUCGGCGAUGACGGUGAUGCUCAGCUCUGCUUGCCGGUGACUGUUGCGGUGUUCUUCACUGAGCGCUGUAGCAGCACGGCACGUUUACUUUGAAAAAAUUAGAGUGCUCAAAGCGUGCUUGUCGCUUGAAUAAUGUUGCAUGGAAUAAUGGAAUAGGACCUCGGUUCUAUUUUGUUGGUUUUCGGAGCUUGAGGUAAUGAUUAAGAGGGACGAACGGGGGCAUUCGUAUCGCGGUGUUAGAGGUGAAAUUCUUGGAUCGCCGCAAGACGGACUACUGCGAAAGCAUUUGCCAAGAACGCUUUCAUUAAUUAAGAACGAAAGUCAGAGGUUCGAAGACGAUCAGACACCGUCCUAGUUCUGACCAUAAACGAUGCCGACCAGCGAUCCGUAGUGGUUGCUUUAUGGACCCUACGGGCAGCCUCCGGGAAACCAAAGUAUUUGGGUUCCGGGGGAAGUAUGGUUGCAAAGCUGAAACUUAAAGGAAUUGACGGAAGGGCACACCAGGAGUGGAGCCUGCGGCUUAAUUUGACCCAACACGGGAAAACUCACCCGGUCCGGACACCGUAAGGAUUGACAGACUGAUAGCUCUUUCUUGAUUCGGUGGAUGGUGGUGCAUGGCCGUUCUUAGUUGGUGGAGUGAU
rnacentral:rRNA from 1 species